rnacentral:rRNA from 1 species
AGUGAACGCUGGCGGUAGGCCUAACACAUGCAAGUCGAACGGCAGCACAGUAAGAGCUUGCUCUUACGGGUGGCGAGUGGCGGACGGGAGAGGAAUACAUCGGAAUCUACUUUUUCGUGGGGGAUAACGUAGGGAAACUUACGCUAAUACAGCAUACGACCUACGGGUGAAAGCAGGGGAUCUUCGGACCUUGCGCGAUUGAAUGAGCCGAUGUCGGGUUAGCUAGUUGGCGGGGUAAAGGCCCACCAAGGCGACGAUCCGUAGCUGGUCUGAGAGGAUGAUCAGCCACACUGGAGCUGAGCCACGGUCCAGACUCCUACGGGAGGCAGCAGUGGGGAAUAUUGGACAAUGGGCGCAAGCCUUAUCCAGCCAUACCGCGUGGGUGAAGAAGGCGUUCGGGUUGUAAAGCCCUUUUGUUGGGAAAGAAAAGCAGCAGGUUAAUACCCCGCUGUUCUGACGGUACCCAAAGAAUAAGCACCGGCUAACUUCGUG